rnacentral:rRNA from 1 species
ACACGGAGGGCGCGAGCGUUGUUCGGAAUCACUGGGCGUAAAGCGCGUGUAGGCGGCUUGGCAAGUCGAAUGUGAAAGCCCGGGGCCCAACCCCGGAAUUGCAUUCGAAACUGCUUGGCUAGAGUCUCGGAGAGGAAGGCAGAAUUCCCGGUGUAGGGGUGAAAUCCGUAGAUAUCGGGAGGAAUACCAGUGGCGAAGGCGGCCUUCUGGACGAUGACUGACGCUGAGACGCGAAAGCGUGGGGAGCAAACAGGAUUAGAAACCCCGGUAGUCC